rnacentral:rRNA from 1 species
UACGAAGGUUGCAAGCGUUACUCGGAAUUACUGGGCGUAAAGCGUGCGUAGGUGGUUUGUUAAGUCUGAUGUGAAAGCCCUGGGCUCAACCUGGGAAUUGCAUUGGAUACUGGCAGGCUAGAGUGCGGUAGAGGGUAGUGGAAUUCCCGGUGUAGCAGUGAAAUGCGUAGAGAUCGGGAGGAACACCAGUGGCGAAGGCGACUACCUGGACCAGCACUGACACUGAGGCACGAAAGCGUGGGGAGCAAACAGG